rnacentral:rRNA from 1 species
UUAGAUACCCUAUUAUACUAAUAAGGGCCUAGAUUAAUAAGAGAUAUAUUCUUUAAAUUUAAAGAAUUUGGCGGUGAUUUAGUCCUGUUAGAGGAACCUGUUUUUGAAUCGAUACACCUCGCAAUAUCUUGCUUGUUCUUGUGAUUAGAAGUUUAUAUACCGUCAUUACCAGAUAAUUUUUAUAAAGAAGCAAUUAUUAAAAUUUAAAUAACUAGAUAAAAUUAGAUCAAGGUGUAGCUGAUGAACAAGUUAAAAUGGGUUACAAUAAGAUUUAUUUAUCACGGAGCAGUUACAGUAAGGGAUGGGCUAUAAAGGAGGAUUUAAUUGUAAUGAGAGUUUAAUAAGCUCAGGAGAUAUAGGCACA